UGUUGAGGCGACGGUCUUGACACGGGAGUGACUGAAUAAACUUGCUGGCAUAAGGCUAGUUAAGGUGAUGAGACACAGGUGGUGCUGCUGCUCGCAAGAGUAGAACCGACCUACCAGUCGGGUCUCAGAUAGUACAGUAAAAAUCUACUCAAUGUAGCAAUGCCCUGUACUUGUUGGUAAACAUGAACCCAACCUCCCACCCC
ncrna:unclassified sequences manA RNA